ACCGAGUCAUUUUGGGGAUACAUUUUACUGGUUGCUGUUUUCAACUUGGCCAUAAUCAACCGAAAGGGCGUAGGAAAAACAAACAAACAAACAAACAAACAAAAAAAACUCGUUCCGAGUAGGAGGGCCCUCCCGCGGUGAGCCUUGAAGCCUAGGGCACAGGCCCAGGUGGAGCAGCUGCAGGUGCAGAUCUUGGUGGUAGUAGCAAAAAUUCAAAGGAGAACUUUGAAGGCUGAAGUGGAAAAGGGUUCCAUGUGAACAGCAGUUGAACAUGGGUCAGUUUGUCCUGAGAGAUGGGCGAGCGCCGUUCCGAAGGGACGGGCGAUGGCCUCCGUUGCCCUCAGCUCAUCGAAAGGGAGUCAGGUUCAGAUCCCCGAAUCCGGAGUGGCGGAGACGGGUGCUGCGAGGCGUCCAGUGUGGUAACGCAACCGAUCCCGGAGAAGCCGGCGGGAGCCCCGGGGAGAGUUCUCUUUUCUUUGUGAAGGGCAGGGCGCCCUGGAAUGGGUUCGCCCCGAGAGAGGGACCCGUGCCUCGGAAAGCGUCGCGGUUCCGGCGGUGUCCAGUGAGCUCUCGCUGGCCCUUGAAAAUCCGGGGGAGAGGGUGUAAAUCCCUCCCCGGGCCGUACCCAUAUCCGCAGCAGGUCUCCAAGGUGAACAGCCUCUGGCA
rnacentral:ncRNA from 1 species